UUACUGGGCGUAAAGCGUACGUAGGCGGGUUGUUAAGUUAGAGGUGAAAUCCCAGGGCUCAACCCUGGAACUGCCUUUAAUACUGCUAGUCUUGAGUUCGAGAGAGGUGAGUGGAAUUCCGAGUGUAGAGGUGAAAUUCGUAGAUAUUCGGAGGAACACCAGUGGCGAAGGCGGCUCACUGGCUCGAUACUGACGCUGAGGUGCGAAAGUGUGGGGAGCAAACAGGAUUAGAUACCCUGGUAGUCCACACCGUAAACGAUGAAUGCCAGUCGUCGGGUAGCAUGCUAUUCGGUGACACACCUAACGGAUUAAGCAUUCCGCCUGGGGAGUACGGUCGCAAGAUUAAAACUCAAAGGAAUUGACGGGGGCCCGCACAAGCGGUGGAGCAUGUGGUUUAAUUCGAUGCAACGCGCAGAACCUUACCUACACUUGACAUGCUGAGAAGUUACUAGAGAUAGUUUCGUGCCUUCGGGAACUCAGACACAGGUGCUGCAUGGCU
rnacentral:rRNA from 1 species